rnacentral:rRNA from 1 species
CGUAGGGAAACCGAGUCUUAACUGGGCGAAUGAGUUGCAGGGUAUAGACCCGAAACCCGGUGAUCUAUCCAUGGGCAGGUUGAAGGUUGGGUAACACUAACUGGAGGACCGAACCGACUAAUGUUGAAAAAUUAGCGGAUGACUUGUGGAUGGGGGUGAAAGGCCAAUCAAACCGGGAGAUAGCUGGUUCUCCCCGAAAGCU